UACGUAGUUGGCAAGCGUUGUCCGGAAUUAUUGGGCGUAAAGCGCGCGCAGGCGGCCUUUUAAGUCUGAUGUGAAAGCCCACGGCUCAACCGUGGAAGGUCAUUGGAAACUGGAAGGCUUGAGUACAGAAGAGGAAAGCGGAAUUCCACGUGUAGCGGUGAAAUGCGUAGAGAUGUGGAGGAACACCAGUGGCGAAGGCGGCUUUCUGGUCUGUAACUGACGCUGAGGCGCGAAAGCGUGGGGAGCAAACAGG
rnacentral:rRNA from 1 species